AAAUUGAAGAGUUUGAUCAUGGCUCAGAUUGAACGCUGGCGGCAGGCCUAACACAUGCAAGUCGAGCGGAAACGGCAGCAUUGAAGCUUCGGUGGAUUUGCUGGACGUCGAGCGGCGGACGGGUGAGUAACGGCUGGGAACCUGCCCUGACGCGGGGGAUAACCGUUGGAAACGACGGCUAAUACCGCAUAAUGUCUUAGUUCAUUACGAGCUGGGACCAAAGGUGGCCUCUACAUGUAAGCUAUCGCGUUGGGAUGGGCCCAGUUAGGAUUAGCUAGUUGGUAAGGUAAUGGCUUACCAAGGCGACGAUCCUUAGCUGGUUUGAGAGGAUGAUCAGCCACACUGGGACUG
rnacentral:rRNA from 1 species